AGUCUGUGCUUUUUAAACCCUUCGUGUUUUGUCCUUAAAUGCUUAUUUAAACCUGAAAUGAGUUUGACAAAUCUCACAGAAAAACAUAAUUAAAACAAUUUACUAAUUUAAAAAAAAAAUUGUACGUCAAAAUAAAACUGAAAAUUGGGAAACUGGCAAAUCUACUAGUCGGCAGUGACUAAACAAGGAAUGUUUACCGUGGUUGUGAUGACACACGGCAUACACAGUCUACUAAAAAAGGCGAUCUUCCGAAAUCGAUAGCAUAUAAUAUAUUAUGGUCUUCGGGAUAAUAUAGUAUUUUACAUAUUUUAUACUUUUAUCCACAAUUAAUUUAUGAGUGUCCUACUUUUACUUUUAUGACCCAAUUAAAGCGGUAAGAUAAAAUGCAAUUAAUAGGUUGAGACCACGGUGAUGUACCAUAUACAGCUAAUUUUAUUUAGUUGGAUUUUCGACGUUCCGCUUUGGCUAUCCUCUUACACUUUUAUGCACGGAAAAACGUAUUUUACCGAUUCUAUCUACAUCUAUGUAGGUCGAAUGGGCAAUUGUAUAAAUAAUAUUUCCCUACCAAGAUCAUACCAUAGUCAUUUGGCGCACAAGAGUAUCGGUUUACCGCGGUCGCGGUGUAAGUUUUACCACCGGACCGAUACACUUGCCGCCCAAAUAUCCGUUGUCGAUCUGACUUCGUGAGUAGAAGGUUAUGGAGGCUAGACAGGCAUGGAGGUUAGACAGGCAUGGAGGUAAAUAAAUAAACACGUAAUUAUAGUCGGACGCGUAUGCGUCGAAAGCCGAUUAUUGAUAACGAGGUAUUGCGGUUGACAUAAGUACGCAUGUGAGUGACUAGGCUUACAAUAGUUGCCGUUUCGUCGGGUGCUCGAUGCUCGGGCGUGCGGUGAUAGCGUCGGGGCGCACGCGAGUUCGUAAGAGGAAUCGUGAGCGGUUGCGCGUGGGCGCGAAAGCCGUCGAGUUCGGGUCGCGAGACCGGGAACGUCGGGGACGUGUUGGUCGACGGGACGAGAGCGGGUCGAAACCAGAUUCGGCUUGAAAGUGCUCGUUUGUCGCGGAAUCGCGAGAUGUAACGGGACCGUGCGCGUCGUAGCGCGUACCGGACAUGUCGUGUCGGUGGUCAUUACAUCUCGAAAGUGCGAUCGUCGAUGCGCGAGGUCGUGGUCCAUACCCACGUGUAAAAAUGGCGCGGAACGUCGGGUUUGGGUCGGCGGCUAAAGGUUCGGUCGGACUGUCGCGGAUGUGGCUCGGUCGAACGUCGUGAGCAAAGAAAACGAGCUUUACGUCGCGAUCGGCGUCGUAGCCUUCGCGGGACGGUUCGGCGCGGAGUAGGGGCGCGAUCGCUGCGUCGAGUAGAUAGAAACAUAUAUAAAAUUCACAAUGGUCGCUUACGUGUAAAAGUAUAAAAACGAAUAUAAUUCAAAUAUAAUUGUGAACGAAUAUAACAUAAAAAAAAGGUAUAAUUCACGUAUCAAAAGUGGUAACGUCGGUCGGGCUGGUGGGUCGACCAGUAAAGUGGUGACAAUCGGUGUCGCCACAGUCAGAAUGAUAAAUCUUUCCGUGAUAAAAGAUAAGGUUUAAAGUCAUAUCCACGAACGUGGUCAUCGAUUUUGAUGUGAUAAGAAAAUUGAUAAUUUAAAACAGUUUUAACGCAAAGAACCGUUCGUAACAAUUAUCAAAAAGGCAACUAUCAAAUGAAUAUGAAUAUAUGAUAAGACAUGUUAAGACCGAGUGCAUGCAUAAAAAGAGCUUUGGAGUAACGAGUGAUGUAGCCGCGAGUCUCUUGUCACACAACUAGCUGAUCGCACACGCUAGCUCAUUGCUAAUACCGCAGACCGAGGCUGCAACAUAAGAACUGCGGGCAAGAAAAUAUGUCACAUGAAAUGAUAACAGAAAACGGAAUGAACGAAAUAGCUCGAUAUUCAAAGUAUUCAAUUUAAUAUGCAUAAUUUGGAAGGUCGUAUACCAAACAAAUGUCUAGCGGUUUUGGAUCAAGACUGUACGAUGGUCGUCUCUUUUUUGAGCAGUUGUAGCUAAGAACACAUCAUGAAUGAUGUUUACAAAGAAUUUUGGUUAUUCAAUGUAAUAUGCAUAAUUUGAAAGGUCGUAUACCAAACAAAUGUCUAGCGGUUUUGGAUCAAGACUGUACGAUGGUCGUCUCUUUUUUGAGCAUUUGUAGCUAAGAACAC